rnacentral:rRNA from 1 species
AUGGGUGGAGGGCUAGCAUCCUUUUGGGAAGAAAGGAACAUCCAGACUCUGGUGAUCCUCAGCUUCGCCCUGCAAGCCAUCCUCCUCUGCUGUGCAGGGAUCCGGCGCAGCCGCGAAGCCUCGGGUGUGCUCAGAAUCCUCCUCUGGCUGGCGUACCUGAUGGCCGACUACACCGCAAUCUACGCCCUUGGCCACAUGUCCAUCACCAUGAGCAGGAGCAGGACCCCUCCAGGUCCAGGCGACCACCACCAGAUGCGGAUGGUGCCAUUCUGGGCUCCCUUCCUGCUGCUCCACCUCGGCGGGCCGGACACCAUCACCGCCUACGCCUACCAGGACAACCAGCUCUGGCUGCGCCACCUGCUCACGCUCGCGGGCCAGGUGCUCGGCGCCAUCUAUGUCAUGUACCUCUUCGUCGCGCCCGGCAGGAACCCGGCCGGGACGCUGCUCGCCGCCGCCGCGUUGAUGUUCGCCACCGGCUGCCUCAAGUACGGGGAGAGGACGUGGGCGCUCAAGCGCGGCGGCAUCGACAGCAUCAAAAGCUCCCUCGAUGACAAUGGCAAGUCAUCGGCCACCGGUGGUCCUUACCAUGGGAGGGAGGGGGCAAAGAGGCUGGACACGGAGGAGGUCCUGCUGGGUGCACACCACAUGCUCAAUUUCUGCAAGGGCCUCCUGGCUGAUGGUCCAGUGAUGCAGAAGUCCGAGUACGAAGUCAUGCGGCAAGGCAUCCAGCUCAACGGCGGCAACUACGUGUUCCAGCUGGCCGCCAUGGAGCUCUCCCUCCUGUACGACAUACUCUACACCAAGGCGGCGGUGCUCCACACCUGGCACGGCUUGUGCAUCCGGAUCGUCGCGCCGCUCUCCGUGGUCGCCGCGUUCGUGCUGUUUCAGCUCAGCAGCAAGGAGGCCUACAGCAGGGCUGACGUCGCCGUCACCUACGUCCUGCUCGCCGGUGCCAUGGCAUUGGAGCUCGCGUCUUCUCUCAGGGCGGCGGGGUCUUCCUGGGCGUGCGCGUCCUACCAUGCCCGGGGAUGGCACUGGCUCUGCGGCACGGUGAUGCGCCUCCGCCGGAUGCUCAAGGUUGGAGCAAGGAGGAGUGCCUCCCUGGACUCGCUUGGGCAGUACAACCUGCUGGACCUCUGCACCGAUGCCAACAAGGACGGCCACCUGAGAGGCAAGAUCGCCAAGAUGAUUGGACUUAAGGACCGAUGGCAGAAGAUGCACUACUCGAGCACCGCCCCCGUCUCCGACGCCAUCAAGACUCUGGUGCUGACAGAGAUCAGGAAGAGGAAAAUAGAUGAUCUGAGGAAUGCACGGGGCAGGUGGAUCCUCAAGGAGAAAGAGAUGUACGAGGAUCUCACGCGGAUCGCCGACGACACCGAGCUGGACCGUAGCAUCAUGGUGUGGCACAUCGCCACCGAUCUCUACCUCUCCAUGUGCCCUGGCCCUGACCCUGACCCCGACAAGGAGGUCCGGGACAGCAUAAGGGUGCUCUCCAACCACAUGCUAUUCCUCAUGGUGGUGCAUCCCUACCUGUUGCCCGGAGUUGUUCGCACUGGCCGGUACAAGGAGAACUUGAAGUACUAUGAUAUGGUGUGGUGGGUCAAUUUGAAGGCCACCAAGGAAAGCACCAUGAAGCUGUCCAGACCGGGGAUCAUCAGCAAGAUAGCCGACAGGCAGCUCCCGGCUGAUUCGAGGCGCGAGUACAUUUACGGCAUCGGCGAGGAAGCUGCUGACGACGUCGGCGACAGGCCGGUCUAUGCCGACGGAUCCUGGCUCGCCGGGAUGCUACACGGGAACAGGUGGCACCUGUCCGCUGCUGACAUGCUGGAGGUCAUCGCCGGCGUGUGGGUGGAGAUGCUGUGCUACGCGAGCCACCACUGCGGCGAGGAGUCUCACGCCAAGAAGCUAAGCACCGGAGCAGAGUUCAUGAAUGCCGUCUGGCUUAUCAUAGGGCAUGCCACGGUGUACGACAGGUACGCACCGUCUGCCGAGGGCUUGACGGGGGGUUUAGGGCUCAGCAACCCUCCGCGCAAGCGGAAGAUCCCUGCCAGAUGGAUGCAGCAGCCGGAGGCGGACGUCGGACCCCGACCGCCUGGUGUACCACCCGGUGUUCACCCUGCAUACGCGCCCUUUUUUGACGUUGAAGCACACCAAACAUCAAGUGCACAAAGACACCACCAAUAG